UUGAAGGAAAUUCGAGAGAUUAUGUUGCUUAUAGACAUUAGCCCCCCUGGUAGGGACAAACGUACCUUUCUGCAGAUGCUCUAUGAUCCGGGCAAUCUCAUUUGGCCGUAAAUUGAAGAAAAUCCAGCGGCUAUAUGCCUUAUUCUCCUUGUUUUCGCCGGAUGGCAUGCUGUAACUCACGCGCGUGAAAGCCAAGAACAAAAGGGCAUUCCUGGCAUCGGUCAAUAUAUAUAUGUGGAAACGAUAUCUCCUCUAUAGAGGACAAGAAAUUUUGGGGCAAUCAGGCAAAAAGCGCACGAGAAAAUGAAGUACUUUCAAGGACUGCCAUAGAAUGGACAGAUUGAUGAGGACAUCAAUACAAUUGUUACACCCACAGCCCCUGCUGCUAUACAUACUGGACCAAUUACUAGAGCUCGUGCACGCCAACUAAAUUACCAGGUACUUUCGUUUCUUGGUAAUGAUUCUAAUGUUCAUGAGAAUAUGAUGCUGCCUAAAUUGGAUACAUUUGUUUUGCUUACAAAUGAAGGGCCUAGCUUGGAGAAGGAUGAACAUUGGAGCAAGAACAAGCAUGGAGAUGAUGGCAUGCGCAAGGGGAACAAGAACGGAGUUACAAGUGAUGAUUUCAGGACUUUGAAGCCACCAUAAUGGGUGCAUGAAGCCUUGGACGAAAUAUACAAGAUGCCACUUCAUAAAUUUCGUCCCGAGGCUAUUUUAGGUGCUGCGUCACCUUAUUAUUGGGCCAGGCCCAUGUAAUUUCGAAAUACAUAAGUAUAGGCUAUUUUUAGAGUCCGUAUGUGUGGGGAAACAAGAGAUAGGGUUGAUUUCNNNNNNNNNNUCUCAUGAACAUUAGAAUCAUUACCAAGAAACGAAAGUACCUGGUAAUUUAGUUGGCGUGCACGAGCUCUAGUAAUCGGUCCAGUAUGUAUAGCAGCAGGGACUGUGGGUGUAACAAUUGUAUUGAUUUACCAGGUACUUUCGUUUCUUGGUAAUGAUUCUAAUGUUCAUGAGAAUAUGAUGCUGCCUAAAUUGGAUACAUUUGUUUUGCUUACAAAUGAAGGGCCUAGCUUCGAGAAGGAUGAAUAUUGGAGCAAGAACAAGCAUGGAGAUGAUGGCAUGCGCAAGGGGAACAAGAACGGAGUUACAAGUGAUGAUUUCAGGACUUUGAAGCCACCAUAAUGGGUGCAUGAAGCCUUGGACGAAAUAUACAAGAUGCCACUUCAUAAAUUUCGUCCCGAGGCUAUUUUAGGUGCUGCGUCACCUUAUUAUUGGGCCAGACCCAUGUAAUUUCGAAAUACAUAAGUAUAGGCUAUUUUUAGAGUCCGUAUGUGUGGGGAAACAAGAGAUAGGGUUGAUUUCGGACCCCUCCACCAAGGGCCACGAAAUUCCCCCCUCUUCCUCCAUAUAUACAGCCCUUAGGGCAUCGUUUAGACUUUGGGUUUUGUUUAGAUUCAAAGUUCGCCAUAGCUGCAACUUCGCGUACUUCGUUUGUGUUCAACGACCAGACAAAGGCGUCACAGAACCCCACCUUGAUCAAUAAAGCUUUCAUCUUAUAUUCGCAAUAUCCAGAUUGCAAUCUCAGUUUCUUGCUUGUUCUUCGUUUGCUCGCAGGAAACAGACCCUCGUGGUCAGGUUGAUCGUGCUCCGGCGUGGUCAAUAACCUCUCGGAGUUGGUUUAGCGAUUGCUAAGGCGCGACGUCCUCGCACGUUCGUAGUCGGAUCGUCAAAGUCGACUUCCACCAAAGCGAUAUCCAUCAUCUCAUCGAAAGACGGGACACCCUCGCCUCUAUUAAGUGGUAUCAGAUUUCCAGGUUGCUCGGUGAGAUUUUACAGUUUUUCGUAGUUUAGAUCGAGUCUGUUCUUCAUACCUACAGUCCAAGAAAAAGCCAAAAAAAAUUAGGGUUAGUUCAUCAUAUCCGAACCAAUCUGAGCCUUUGCAUAAUCUUUUUAGGGUUUUGCUUUGUUGAAUUUGCGGUUGCAUCGUCGGUCUAGUUGCUGGUCUUAGAGUCUAGUCUUUUAGAGUUUCGAGUUCUAUUCACAAGUUGUCACGCUGCCGCCGCACCAUCAUCAUCGCCCCUGCCAUCUACCACCACCGCUCCGAAUCCGUAUCCAUAUACCACCACCAAUCCGUGUCCAUAUACCAACACCGAUCCAUAUCCAUAUACUACCACCGCUACCACCACCGCUGCCAUAUAUCACCACCAUAUAUCCACCACCAAUCCGAGUUCCUUGCUUAUUAGGGUUGUUUUCGAGAUCCAUCUAGUUUCCGAUUCGUGUUUCCUUGCUGGAGUAGGUUUCGGAAAAAAAAAAGAAGAGUCGGGUAGCCACGCUCCGUUUAGGCCCAAAUUUUUUCGAAAACGCAUUUUUCGAAAAAUUUUCUGGCUAUCCUAUUUUUAGGUGUUUCUGAGUGUUUUGAGACAGGUGCCAUUAUAGGAAGUUUUUUUUGACCCGUUUCCAGUUUUUGGGUCCGGGCAGUCAAAAAAAAAAAAAAUUGGUCGAAAAAAUUUCGUGCCCAUCCUGUCAGUUUGAGCUAAGAAGAGUUUUGAGACACUCGCCAUUAUAGUGAUUUUUCGCAAAAAAAAAANNNNNNNNNNNNNNNNNNNNNNNNNNNNNNNNNNNNNNNNNNNNNNNNNNNNNNNNNNNNNNNNAAAAAGAGCGCAAAAAAAAAAGCAGCGCAAAAAAAAGAGCGAAAAAAAAAAUUCAGAGUGUGCUUUUCCCUUGUUUACGUGCCGUGCCGUGAUUUUGUUGGUGUUCUAGGCUCGCGUCUCUAGCACAGUCUAGCCUAGGACCAGCACAGUACCGUCGUUGAGCGUUUAUUCAACUUUGCAUCUCUGAAUUGAUUAUUGAUGACCCUUUUUGCUACCAUACUAUAAGCCUUCCCAGCUCCACAUACAUCUACGUCGUGUGUUUGACUCUCCCUGGUAAUCGCUCUAUCCAAGCUUUGAGAGUUUUUGACUACAACGGUUGCCGAUCACCGCCUGCUGCUGGGUAAGAACUGGUAAGAAUUUGAGAUUUGCUUGACGGAUUUGUGAUACACCACCACCACUUCUUAGUAGUCUGUAGGAUCAUAUUCUUGUGUGUUUCUAUUGCUGCUAACCAUGCCAGGAUCACAAGCCGACGAGAUUGACUGGGAGAAUUUAUCGAACAAGGAGCUUCAUGAUAAGUUUCAGCAAAUGAUGACUGAACAGGUGCAAGAUGUGCUGAACAAUUUUGAAGAGGCCAUGGAGAAGAUCACUGGCCUUGAGAAGACGUUCGAAACAAAGCUCGAUAACAAGUUUAAUGAAUUGCUCGCGCGUCUUCCACCACCACCACCCGCUGCACCUAACGCACCUCUCCAACAACAACAACAACGACUACCUCCACGUCGCGAAGCAGACCUCCGCCGAGCAAGCCGUGUUCCUCUUGUGUUUGGCCAAACUGUUGGUGCUGCUGUUGAUACUUCUGUGGCUCCUGCUGCUGAUGCGGAGGAGGAUGAUUAUGUGGGAGAUUAUGAGGAUGAGGUUGAUCAAAAUCAACACUACAUGCAGCCACCUGUACCACCACCAGCAGGUCGACCUCAGGUAUAUAUUCGUAAUGGUAGGCCUGCACCACCACCUCAGGUACGAGAUGAUGUCCAUAUUCCUAAACUGAAAUUGAAUAUUCCACCAUUUGAGGGUAGAUAUGUUCCUAAUAUAUAUCUUACUUGGGAGUUAGAAACUGAACAACGAUUUACAUGUUUACAAUAUCCUGAGGAGAGACGAGUUGCUGCUGCCGUUUGUGCUUUCACUAGUUUUGCAUGUGUAUGGUGGUCUGAACAUUGUAGAUUAUAUCCUAUUCCAACUACUUGGGCUGCUUUGAAAACUGCUAUGCGUACGCGUUGGGUUCCACCAUAUUAUCAACGUGAAUUGCUUCAAAAAUUGCAGCGUUUAAGACAAGGGAAAAAUUCUGUAGAAGAAUAUUAUCAGGAAUUACAAACUGGCAUGAUUAGAUGUGGUAUUGUUGAGGAGAAUGAAGCUAUGCUUGCACGUUUUCUGGGUGGAUUAAAUAGAGAGAUUCAGACCAUUCUAGACUAUAAGGAGUAUACUAAUAUCACUCGUUUAUUCCAUCUUGCUUGUAAAGCUGAACAUGAAGUGCAGGAUCGACAAGCAUUGGGGCGAACUAACUUUUCUGCAGGCCGACCUUCAUCAUGGACACCACGUGCAUCUUCUACUUCAACUGCACCAGCACCUCCAUCAGGUGCCACCUCCAGCCGUGAUACAAGAAAACAGGCACAACCACCAUUAUCUACCAAGAGCGCACCUGCGGGGCCUCCACAGUGUUCUUCUUCUUCCAUAUCAUCAACAGGGCACACAAGUGAUAUUAUUUGUCGUCGUUGUAAGGGAGGAGGUCAUUAUGCGAGAGAAUGCAAAUCUCCGCGUGUGAUGAUUGCUAUCGCGGAUGGUGGAUAUGAGUCCGCUAGUGACUAUGAUGAGGAGACAUUGGCUCUUAUUACACGUGAAGAACAUGGUGGAGAUGAUUCUGAUCAUGAGACGCAAUACAUGGCUCCUGAAGACGCUGACAGGUAUGAAUGUUUAGUUGCUCAACGUGUUUUGAGUGUGCAGGUCACACAAGCUGAGCAAAAUCAGAGGCACAAUUUGUUCCAUACCAAGGGAGUUGUGAAGGAACGUUCUGUGCGCGUCAUAAUAGACGGAGGGAGCUGCAACAACUUGGCUAGCAUGGAGAUGGUGGAGAAGCUUUCUCUCACCACAAGACCUGAUGAGGACAUCAAUACAAUUGUUACACCCACAGCCCCUGCUACUAUACAUACUGGACCAAUUACUAGAGCUCGUGCACGCCAACUAAAUUACCAGGUACUUUCGUUUCUUGGUAAUGAUUCUAAUGUUCAUGAGAAUAUGAUGCUGCCUAAAUUGGAUACAUUUGUUUUGUUUACAAAUGAAGGGCCUAGCUUGGAGAAGGAUGAACAUUGGAGCAAGAACAAGCAUGGAGAUGAUGGCAUGCGCAAGGGGAACAAGAACGGAGUUACAAGUGAUGAUUUCAGGACUUUGAAGCCACCAUAAUGGGUGCAUGAAGCCUUGGACGAAAUAUACAAGAUGCCACUUCAUAAAUUUCGUCCCGAGGCUAUUUUAGGUGCUGCGUCACCUUAUUAUUGGGCCAGGCCCAUGUAAUUUCGAAAUACAUAAGUAUAGGCUAUUUUUAGAGUCCGUAUGUGUGGGGAAACAAGAGAUAGGGUUGAUUUCGGACCCCUCCACCAAGGGCCACGAAAUUCCCCCCUCUUCCUCCAUAUAUACAGCCCUUAGGGCAUCGUUUAGACUUUGGGUUUUGUUUAGAUUAAAAGUUCGCCAUAGCUGCAACUUCGCGUGCUUCGUUUGUGUUCAACGACCAGACAAAGGUGUCACAGAACCCCACCUUGAUCAAUAAAGCUUUCAUCUUAUAUUCGCAAUAUCCAGAUUGCAAUCUCAGUUUCUUGCUUGUUCUUCGGUUGCUCGCAGGAAACAGACCCUCGUGGUCAGGUUGAUCGUGCUCCGGCGUGGUCAAUAACCUCUCGGAGUUGGUUUAGCGAUUGCUAAGGCGCGACGUCCUCGCACGUUCGUAGUCGGAUCGUCAAAGUCGACUUCCACCAAAGCGAUAUCCAUCAUCUCAUCGAAAGACGGGACACCUUUGCCUCUAUCACAGAUGUUCACUAAAAUGGUCAUAAUUUUGUCAUUUGGAGUCCGUGUCGGACCCAUAAGUACUCAAACUGCUCGCGGUGAGCGCGCGAAUCCAGAAAAUACUCCCCGCUUCCACCAGGAGGCCUGGAGUGCCCUCAAAUACGGCCUUAAGUAGGACUUUUUGGCCCUGAAAGUCAAAGAACACCAUUCGUCGUUGUUUUUCAGACAAGUUUCUGAACCCAUUGGCACUUCCUUUUGAAGGAAAUUCAAGAGAUUAUGUUGCUUAUAGACAUUAGCCCCCCUGAUAGGGACAAACGUACCUUUCUGCAGAUGCUCUAUGAUCCGGGCAAUCUCAUUUGGUCGUAAAUUGAAGAAAAUCCAGCGGCUAUAUGCCUUAUUCUCCUUGUUUUUGCCGGAUGGCAUGCUGUAACUCACGCGCGUGAAAGCCAAGAACAAAAGGGCAUUCCUGGCAUCGGUCAAUAUAUAUGUGGAAACGAUAUCUCCUCUAUAGAGGACAAGAAAUUUUGGGGCAAUCGGGCAAAAAGCGCACGAGAAAAUGAAGUACUUUCAAGGACUGCCAUAGAAUCGAUAGAUGUUCACUAAAAUGGUCAUAAUUUUGUCAUUCGGAGUCCGUGUCAGACCCAUAAGUACUCAA
rnacentral:lncRNA from 1 species